UCCCCUGUAGCUCAGUUGGUAGAGCAUGGCACUUGCUAAUGCCAGGGUUGUGGGUUUGAUUCCCACAGGGAGAC
rnacentral:tRNA from 1 species